rnacentral:rRNA from 1 species
AGUGAACGCUGGCGGUAGGCCCAACACAUGCAAGUCGAACGGCAGCACAGUAAGAGCUUGCUCUUACGGGUGGCGAGUGGCGGACGGGUGAGGAAUACAUCGGAAUCUACUUUUUCGUGGGGGAUGACGUAGGGAAACUUACGCUAAUACCGCAUACGACCUACGGGUGAAAGCAGGGGAUCUUCGGACCUUGCGCGAUUGAAUGAGCCGAUGUCGGAUUAGCUAGUUGGCGGGGUAAAGGCCCACCAAGGCGACGAUCCGUAGCUGGUCUGAGAGGAUGAUCAGCCACACUGGAACUGAGACACGGUCCAGACUCCUACGGGAGGCAGCAGUGGGGAAUAUUGGACAAUGGGCGCAAGCCUGAUCCAGCCAUACCGCGUGGGUGAAGAAGGCCUUCGGGUUGUAAAGCCCUUUUGUUGGGAAAGAAAAGCAGCAGGUUAAUACCCCGCUGUUCUGACGGUACCCAAAGAAUAAGCACCGGCUAACUUCGUG